rnacentral:snRNA from 1 species
AUCUUUAUGGCGGGAAAGUGCAG